CGAGGCAAAUUUGGAAUGAUACAAAUUUGUAAAAGCACAUAGGUACUUUUGGCUUUGUGGUUGUGAUGUUGUGUUUGCAAGUUGUCUGGGAAACCAGACUUUGUAGCAUAUGCUAUUGUUUUUUUUCACUUCCUGU
rnacentral:misc_RNA from 1 species